rnacentral:rRNA from 1 species
AGAGUUUGAUCCUGGCUCAGAUUGAACGCUGGCGGCAUGCCUUACACAUGCAAGUCGAACGGUAACGCGGGGCAACCUGGCGACGAGUGGCGAACGGGUGAGUAAUAUAUCGGAACGUGCCCAGUCGUGGGGGAUAACUGCUCGAAAGAGCAGCUAAUACCGCAUACGACCUGAGGGUGAAAGCGGGGGAUCUUCGGACCUCGCGCGAUUGGAGCGGCCGAUAUCAGAUUAGGUAGUUGGUGGGGUAAAGGCCUACCAAGCCGACGAUCUGUAGCUGGUCUGAGAGGACGACCAGCCACACUGGGACUGAGACACGGCCCAGACUCCUACGGGAGGCAGCAGUGGGGAAUUUUGGACAAUGGGGGCAACCCUGAUCCAGCCAUGCCGCGUGCGGGAAGAAGGCCUUCGGGUUGUAAACCGCUUUUGUCAGGGAAGAAAUCCUUUGGGCUAAUAACUCGGAGGGAUGACGGUACCUGAAGAAUAAGCACCGGCUAACUACGUG